AUUGAACGCUGGCGGCGUGCUUAACACAUGCAAGUCGAGCGGAGCGGCGAACUGGUGAGUAACGGGUGAGUAACUGCCCCCCUCUCUGGGAUAACAGUUGGAAACGGCUGCUAAUACCGGAUAGUGGGGGAUGACUCGCGUCCUAUCAGCUUGUUGGUGGGGUAGUGGCCUACCAAGGCGACGACGGGUAGCCGGCCUGAGAGGGCGACCGGCCACAAUGGUCUGAGAGACGGACCAAGGGGGAACGGUGGGCAGGGGGGGGGAGUAUUGCGCAAUGGGGGAAACCGUGAUGAAGCGGCGCCGCGGGUGUGAUGAAGGCCUUGGGGUUAGAAACGGGUUGUGGCCAUGACGCGGUAGUGGCAGAAGAAGCACCGGCUAACUACGUGCCAGCAGCCGCGGUAAUAC
rnacentral:rRNA from 1 species